CUCGCUGCACCGCUAUAUGCGUUAGCAUGCUAAUGUUAUUGUUGCAGUGGCGGCUGGCGAUUCCGCUUCCUAUAUUGGCUGAAGUWAAAAAAAAAACAUCCAGUUUUCACCGUCGCUGAAUCUAGUAAACACCUCUUCAGUGACAUGCAUGGUUAGAUAUAACGCGACUUUAAUAUGGAGACAUGGAGACGCAUGGAGAGUUUAGAGUAAUUCUAUUGUGAAAAACCGGGGGUAAAACGUUUUGUAGUGGAAUUGACUGACUGGUGUGCAAGGAGAAGAAAAGACGUUUAGAGGAGGGAAACAGCGACACAGACAGAGAAAAACUGAAGCAAUGGUGUUUGGUCCCUGAGAGGAUUCUGUAGGACCCUGGUUUUACUCCACUGGCUGCCUGAUGAUGAUGAGGAACUUCAGCAGCAGCAGAGCCAGAUGCUGCUGCUCAGGCUCCAAACCAUCAGAGGCCUUUUGGACGCACUGCAGCAGCUGGUGGCGCAGAACCUGCAGGAUGUUGUCGGGCAGGAGCGACAACACGGGCGGGACCUCGUCAGGUCUGGGAACACGGAGAG